UUACCUUUAGAUGUAGCCUAGGCUACAUACAUAUUAAUAUAAAAUAUUAAUUAAUUGCUUAACUGACUACUGUGCUAGCGUAAAGUAGCCUUAUGUUACAAUGUAUAUUAAGUAGGCUAAAUUCUCAAUAUUAUACAAUUAUUAUAAUUUUUCUAUGGGUUAUUGUUUGUUUUUUAAAGUUAGGCUAUAUAUAAUUUCUAAGUGUAUGAAGGCUAAUUUACACAGCACAUAUUUAUAACUGAACACACACACACACAGUGAACAAAGUGAACUUUAUUCACUUUCACAUAGCCUAAUAAUGUUUUUGUAAUUUGGUGUUUAGUUGGUUGUAGUUUGUUUAUACUGUUCUGUCUCUGUUUUGUUUCCAGGAACAUCAUAUUGGCAGCUGCAGGCUGAUGAGUUCUAUAAUAAAAUGACUUCAUUAUAUUUAAAAUAUGUUUUGAUAUUCAUUUUAUUUGUAUUAUUAAUAUUUUAUUUACCCAUAAACAUGUCUUUAGGAAUCCAUAAGUUAUAGAGACAAGAAUAACUUUGUGAAGCCUUUGGGGGCAGUUUCCCAGACAGGGUUUAAAUUAAGACAGGAGUAGGCCUUAAUCUAAGAGCCAUGAUGGUUUUAGCUGUUGACUUUUGUAUCAGAGGACAACUUAAAAGGGCAUGACAAAUCAUGACAUAAGGCUGACAUCACACACAAAACGUACCAAUGUUCCCUCGAUGUUUGUAUACGUGCAUACCAGCAUACCAUUACGACAUCCUUCAUGAAUAAACAUGACAUCUGAUGUUUGUACAACCAGGCCAUACCAGAGCCACAGAGAGAGAGAGUUGCGACAACUCCAUAGACUCCAAUGGAACGGUUUUUUACAGCAAUGGCGGCUCGUGGAGCCUCUCAAUAGUUCCCGGAAGUAGCAGCCGCGCCGUAGAGUUACAGCAGAACAGACCGUUUGUGAUGUACUUUUAAAAGUACAAGCACAAAGGGGAUUCAGAUCCUGAAGACUCCAUGCAAUGAUGCUGUCACCGCCAGUCUCUGCUCCUUGGAUUUUGCAAGCUUUUCCUUGCUCCUUAUUUUUAAUAAACCUUUAAUAAACAUAAAA